rnacentral:rRNA from 1 species
GAUGAACGCUAGCGGGAGGCCUAACACAUGCAAGCCGAGCGGGAUUUGUUGGUUAGCUUGCUAACUAACAAUGAGAGCGGCGUACGGGUGCGUAGCACGUGUGCAACCUGCCUUUAUCUGGGGGAUAGCCUUUCGAAAGGAAGAUUAAUACCCCAUAACAUAUUGAUUGGCAUCAGUUAAUAUUGAAAGCUCCGGCGGAUAUAGAUGGGCACGCGUAAGAUUAGCUAGUUGGUGAGGUAACGGCUCACCAAGGCUGCGAUCUUUAGGGGGCCUGAGAGGGUGAUCCCCCACACUGGUACUGAGACACGGACCAGACUCCUACGGGAGGCAGCAGUGAGGAAUAUUGGACAAUGGGUGAGAGCCUGAUCCAGCCAUCCCGCGUGAAGGACUAAGGACCUAUGGGUUGUAAACUUCUUUUAUACAGGGAUAAACCUACUCUCGUGAGGGUAGCUGAAGGUACUGUAUGAAUAAGCACCGGCUAACUCCGUG